rnacentral:lncRNA from 1 species
GGUAACGUAAUCGGUAACCGAGGCUAGAGAGGUGAGAAAAUAAAGAUAGAAAUUGGGAUUGAGAUAGAGAGAAGAGAAAUAGAGGUAGAGAGAUAGAUAGAUGAGGAUUGAGAGGUGAGGGUUAGGAAAAAGAAUUGGGAUAGAGAUAAGGGAUAGAGAAGAAGAAGGGUUUGGAGAAGAACCUUUGGGGGAGAAAUAGACUAUUUCAUUUUCAUUCAUAAUUCUGUUUGCCAUACAAUCUCGUACUUAUACUUCUCAGGAUUAAUACUGGAAUGGAAAUUACAUAAUCUCUUAGGACUAAACAGCAAAGUGACCAAAAAUGAGAUGCUGAUUGGUUGGGCUGCCAUUCGGGGUUGUUGGGCCACCUCUCUGGGCCUUCCGGUCCGGUAGUGCUAGUGAGUGGGUAAACGGGUGCCGGACUCCUCCUUCUCCGCAUCAUCCGCGACCCUGCGGGUUUUGGGCUCGCCUUUUUCCUCCGCUCCGAAGGCUUGAGGCUCCGACCCGCCUGCUCUCUUCUUCGCCCCAAAAACCAAGAUCCGUCGGACUUCUCCUCCAACCUCGGUCCUUCUUCUGCUCUCUCUCCGCUCCGAGGACACCCAAGCUCCUCCGCCCCGCCAAGGCUCCGCCCGGGCCACCCUUCGCCAGCCUGUUCAAGCUCGCCGGUCUGCUCCAUCAAGCGCGCUUUUCCUCACUUGCUGCGGCCAUUAUUUCUGCUCUUACUAUUGUAAAGUUAGACAUUUUUACUUCCUUCCCCUGCUAGCUAUUAGACUACUUAAUACUUCAGGUCAUUACAAUCCCUUCCCCUUAAGUUCAUCCUUGUCCUCAAGGAUGGAACUUUUUGAACUGGUUUUGGGAUCACCCAUUUGCUUUCCCAACAGCACAUUCUUCUUCUUCAAAAUUGCUUCUUUUAAGCCAUGUUUGAACCUCUGUUCUGUUUUCUCACCCCACUUUGCGCCGGUUUGAGGUGUUUCCCAUUGUGUCCACAUUCGCCUAACACCUCGGGUUGGCAGCACGGACGGCGGCUCCUGCUGGGGCGGGGGCUCACCCUUGGGCCUUCAGGCAGUCGCAACCGGCGCGCCGCCCGACUUGUUUGCUCUGAGAUGUGGCAAAGUGUAUACUGGCAAAAUGGGAGCUCUAGAAUUUUCUCCAUAGUCUUGCUGGAAUGCUUGUAGGGUAAUAAUUCUGGGUAUAUCUGUUCUUCUCCUUCAAGAACUCCCUCACUUCUUCUUUUAUCAAUAUGGUGCUUCAUUCCCUGACACCAAUUCGUAUUCGGUUGCUCCUUAAGAUUGCACUUGACCUGAUCACUUUGCUUGCACCAACUUACAAUCAAGUUCACUCUAGCAUUCUCAGAAGGGAUUGAGAUUGUAGGGAAAUAACCCAAUUCUCUAUUAGAUUCUUUCAGCUUGGCUUGCUCAUAAGCCAAUGACAGUGAGCUAGGGUGAGGCAUUUUAAUAAUUGGUGCUACCCCCCUCUUAUACCAACUAACAAGGGUUGACCUAAGGCAAACUCCUGUCGGACCAAGAAUUUGACUUAGCACUUGUACCUGCAAGUCUUGUGAUCUCUCUUGCUGCCUUAGCAUUGUUGCAAAUUCCACCUCUUGUUGAUCACUGAUUUGUUGUAUCUCAAAGCAUUUCUUGUUCACUCCCAACAGAACUGCGACAAAUUCUUUCUCUUGAGUAGAAUCUUUAACUUCUCUAAGUGGCUUUUGUAUGCAAGCAUGUAAUUCCUCCAUUAUUGCUCCAGAUCUAAUCCGAUAGUGCCGAGCUUCUAUUACUUGUACUCCCUGCUUGAUUAUCAUUGGUAGCUUGAUUGGGGUGACAAGCCUUUGCGAAAAUCUUUCUUCAAUGCCACGAGUGGUCACCUUGUUAGGUCCUGGAUCAAAAGGCACUUGCCUAUAUUCCUUCAUCCAAUCAAUUCUAAGCACUAUGUCAGAAUUUUCGAGCCUCAAUUCUCUCGAAUCAGCAAAGAAUUUGUGUCCUGGCUCCUUUCUUGCAAACUGAGGGCAAGAAUUUUCGCUUAGCACCUUGUGCUCAGGGUCUGCUAUCACUAUCAAGGGUGCAACCGUAGUAAACUCAACUCUGGUAGCUUUUGCAAUCCCGAAGUCAAUGAGGCUAUGCAGGUUUCGAUCAUCAUUCAAAAUUAAUUGGGUUUGGUUACCUGACUCCUUGAUACUCCUAGCCUCGUAGACAUUUCCUCCUUCUACUUGUUGUGGCUCACCUUCUUCUUCUUUUGCUGUCUCAGAUUCAGCACCCAUCUCAACCUUUUUCUGGGCUUGUAACACAUGCAGGGAGCUAUUCUUGCAUUGCUUUUCUGUAAUAUAUUCCUUUCUACAUUCUAGGCAAUGCCAUUGCAUCGUUGUUCGCUUACUUGUAGCAGUCGCUUCUUCAAAAUCAUAAUGAAUACUCUUUUUAGAUCUGCGAGCUGUACUUUCCGCGAUUUCUCAGGUACUCCCUACUUCUGCUGAAGUAGAAUGGCCAUCUGGGGCAUUGUGGGCAGGCCCGAGUAGAGGCGGCUGUGUUGCGAGUAGCUUCAGCAGCUCCUCGGGCUUGCUAGCACGCUCGCUCAAUGCGAUCUCUGGUCUUCUAUUGAUCUCCAACUGUAGAUAAUCACCACACUCUUGCUCCGACCCUGCACUUCCAGCUUCCUGUAUGUGAUCAUCCUCCUGCACCAUAAUUUCAGCCCUCUUUGCGGCUUCACAAUUCUGUUGGCAGCUCUCUACCGAAUUGGUUUGCUCGCAAGUACUAAAUUCUCGGAUUGGGUACCCCUCUUUUGCCGCUGUAAAUCUUUUACAAAUUGCAUCGGAAAACUCGCUCCAAUUCACCCUUGGUCGAUUAAAGAAAUAUGCUUGCUUCCAAAACCUUGCAUCACCCCCUAUGUGCCAGGACGCUACGCCUAUCCAUUGUUGCUCAGGAAUUUGGUAUCGGUCAAAAUACUGCUCGCAAUUUCGCAACCAUCCUUUUGGAUCUGUUCCGUUAAAGGUUGGGAUUUGCAACUUCAAGUAUGGUAUAUAUUGUUGCAGUGGUUGGUUUCUUGCAGGCCUAAUUGAUGUGGGUGUUAGCCUUUCCCUCUCAAUAGGAGCUAGUAUUUUACUUUCCAUAUCAUUCUGUUGAAUCACAAAAUUGCUACUCGUGGAAUUGUCUUGUACGACUUGUCGGCCUUCUCUGAUUACCAAAGGGGUGUUCACUGACUGUGAGUUCGGCCCUAAAGCUGUCAGCAAAUCCACUAGCUGUUGAUGCAUUCUAGCACUCUCUUGCCGCAACUUUUCAUAGCUCGUGGCUUCUUCUAUUCGCAAGGCUUCGUACUUCUGCUGCCAUGUUUGUCGUGAACUAUCCAUUUGGCUGAAGUUACUAUAUCAAGGUUGCGAAUGAUGCUAUCUUGAGGCUUAGAUGCUGCUCCUAUCCUUGGACAGUACUAAUUCUUCUCUUGGUUUUGAAUUUGAAUCGGUUUUCGCUCUUUUUUUUUUUUUUUUUUUUUUCCAAUUGUCGCCCUUGGACGCUACUGUGAUUGCUUCACUCUUGUUUGGUCUGAAAUUAUAGCUUGCUACAGUAACUACGCCGAGGUGCCAAUGAUGCUAAGCUGAGGCCCGGUGCGAUUCUAAUUCAAUAGAAUCCGCACUAGUCUUUACUACUACCUCGGUACAGCCUUAGUAUGUUUCCUCUGUUGCUAAUUGUGCUAGUUGGAUGAUAUUACCUUGUGCACGCCAAUUGCUUGGGGUAAUUCCCCACAGCUGCUGAGCCUCCAACGGUCUUGCUCCUGUUGAAUUCCUGCUGCCCACGGCCCUGGGACAGUGCCACUCUGAUACCAAUUGUAAUAUCCCUUAUGGCUUGGUUCAGGUUCUUGGUACUUCUGGUCGCGGAUCCGAGGUAACGUAAUCGGUAACCGAGGCUAGAGAGGUGAGGAAAUAGAGAUAGAAAUUGGGAUUGAGAUAGAGGGAAGAGAAAUAGAGGUAGAGAGAUAGAUAGAUGAGGAUUGAGAGGUGAGGGUUAGGAAAAAGAGUUGGGAUAGAGAUAAGGGAUAGAGAAGAAGAAGGGUUUGGAGAAGAACCUUUGGGGGAGAAAUAGACUAUUUCAUUUUCAUUCAUAAUUCUGUUUGCCAUACAAUCUCGUACUUAUACUUCUCAGGAUUAAUACUGGAAUGGAAAUUACAUAAUCUCUUAGGACUAAACAGCAAAGUGACCAAAAAUGAGAUGCUGAUUGGUUGUGCUGCCAUUCGGGGUUGUUGGGCCACCUCUCUGGGCCUUCCGGUCCGGUAGUGCUAGUGAGUGGGUAAACGGGUGCCGGACUCCUCCUUCUCCGCAUCAUCCGCGACCCUGCGGGUUUUGGGCUCGCCUUUUUCCUCCGCUCCGAAGGCUUGAGGCUCCGACCCGCCUGCUCUCUUCUUCGCCCCAAAAACCAAGAUCUGUCGGACUUCUCCUCCAACCUCGGUCCUUCUUCUGCUCUCUCUCCGCUCCGAGGACACCCAAGCUCCUCCGCCCCGCCAAGGCUCCGCCCGGGCCACCCUUCGCCAGCCUGUUCAAGCUCGCCGGUCUGCUCCAUCAAGCGCGCUUUUCCUCACUUGCUGCGGCCAUUAUUUCUGCUCUUACUAUUGUAAAGUUAGACAUUUUUACUUCCUUCCCCUGCUAGCUAUUAGACUACUUAAUACUUCAGGUCAUUACAGUCCCCUCCCCUUAAAAUCAUCCUUGUCCUCAAGGAUGGAACUUGUUGAACUGGUUUGGGGCUCCCAUUUGCUUCCCUCGCGGCACAUUCUUCUUCUUCAAAAUUGCUUAUUUUAAGCCAUAUUCUAAUAGCUGUUCUGUUUUCUUGCCCCCCCUUUGCGCCGGUGUGAGGCGUUUCCAACUGUGUCCACACUCGCCUAACACCUCAGGUUGGCAGCAUGGACGGCGGCUCCUGCUGGGGCGGGGCUUACCCGUGGGACCUUCAGGCAGUCGCAACCGGCGUGCCGCCCGACUUGUUUGCUCUGAGAUGUGGCAAAGUGUAUACUGGCAAAAUGGGAGCUCUGGAAUUUUCUCCAUAGUCUUGCUGGAAUGCUUGUAGGGUAAUAAUUCUGGGUAUAUUUGUUCUUCUCCUUCAAGAACUCCCUCACUUCUUCUUUUAUCAGUAUAGUGCUUCAUUCCCUGACACCAAUUUGUAUUCGGUUGCUUCUUAAGAUUGUGCUUGACCUGAUCACUUUGCUUGCACCAACUUACAAUCAAGUUCACUCUAGCAUUCUCAGAAGGGAUUGAGGUAUAGAUUGUAGGGAAAUAACCCAAUUCUCUAUUAGAUUCUUUCAGCUUGGCUUGCUCAUAAGCCAAUGACAGUGAGCUAGGGUGAGGCAUUUUAAUAAUUGGUGCUACCCCCCUCUUAUACCAACUAACAAGGGUUGGCCUAAGGCAAACUCCUGUCGUACCAAGAAUUUGACUUAGCACUUGUACCUGCAUGUCUUGUGAUCUCUCUUGCUGCCUUAGCAUUGUUGCAAUUACCACCUCUUGUUGAUCACUGAUUUGUUGUAUCUCAAAGCAUUUCUUGUUCACUCCCAACAGAACUGCGACAAAUUCUUUCUCUUGAGUAGAAUCUUUAACUUCUCUAAGUGGCUUUUGUAUGCAAGCAUGUAAUUCCUCCAUUAUUGCUCCAGAUCUAAUCCGAUAGGGCCGAGCUUCUAUUACUUGUACUCCCUGCUUGAUUAUCAUUGGUAGCUUGAUUGGGGUGACAAGCCUUUGCGAAAAUCUUUCUUCAAUGCCAUGAGUGGUCACCUUGUUAGGUCCUGGAUCAAAAGGCACUUGCCUAUAUUCCUUCAUCCAAUCAAUUCUAAGCACUAUGUCAGAAUUUUCGAGCCUCAAUUCUCUCGAAUCAGCAAAGAAUUUGUGUCCUGGCUCCUUUCUUGCAAACUGAGGGCAAGAGUUUUCGCUUAGCACCUUGUGCUCAGGGUCUGCUAUCACUAUCAAGGGUGCAACCGUAGUAAAACUCAACUCUGGUAGCCUUUGCAAUCCCGAAGUCAAUGAGGCUAUGCAGGUUUCGAUCAUCAUUCAAAAUUAAUUGGGUUUGGUUACCUGACUCCUUGAUACUCCUAGCCUCGUAGACAUUUCCUCCUUCUACUUGUUGUGGCUCCCAUCCUUCUUCUGUUGCUGCUUCGGAUCCAGCACUCAUUUCAGCCUUUUUCUGUGCCGUUAACAUAUGUAGGGAGCUAUUCUUGCAUUGCUUCCCCGUGAUGUACUCCUCUCCGUAUUCAUCGCACCGCCCUUGCAUCUUUGUUUGCUCACUUGGUGCAGCCCCUUCUACAAGAUUAAGAUUAAGACUCUCUUCGGAAUUGUGAGUUGUAUUGGCAACAGCUUUUAUGGUACUUCCAGUUUCAGCUGAAGUAGUGUAUGCAUUUGGGGCAUUGUGGGCAGGCUUGAGUAGAGAUGGCUGUGCUGCGAGCAGCUUCAGUAGCUCUUCUGGCUUGCUAGCACGCUCGCUCCAUGCUAUCUCUGGCUUUCUAUUGAUCUCCAACUGUAGAUAAUCAUCACACUCUUUCUUUGAUCCUGCACUUCCAGCUUCAUGUAUGUGAUCAUCCUCCUGCACCAUAAUUUCAGAUCUUUUUGCGGCUUCACAAUUCUUUUGGCAGCUCUCUAUAGAAUUGGUUUGCUCGCAAGUACUAAAUUCUCGGAUUGGGUACCCCUCUUUCGCCGCUGUAAAUCUUUUACAAAUUGCAUCGGAGAACUCGCUCCAAUUCACCCUUGGUCGGUUAAAGAAAUAUGCUUGCUUCCAAAACUGUGCAUCACCCUCUAUGUGCAUGGACGCUAUGCCUAUCCAUUGUUGCUCAGGAACUUGGUAUCGGUCAAAAUACUGCUCGCAAUUUCGUAACCAUCCUUUUGGAUCUGUUCCGUUAAAAUCUGGGAAACUUAACUCCAUGUAUGGCAUGUACUGUUGCCGAUGAUUCUUCUCUGUCGGAACUUGCACUGUUAUCUCUUCUUCUCUAGCAUGCACAAAUCGGCUCCUAAUCAACUCUAGGAGUUGUUCAUGUCUGCGGGCAUUCUCCUGCAUCAUGAUUUCGUGCCUCCUUGCCUCUUCCUUUUGUAGUGCUUCAACUAAGACAUCUAACUUUUGAUUAACAACCCGAGCACUUUGUAAUGCUUCUUCAAAGCUUUGAUUAUAGCUAGUGGUUUGUUGCCGCAACCUUGUUCCAUUAGCCAUUUUGCCUUCUAUCCCUGGACAGCAACUAAUUCUUCUCUUGCCUUGGUACCAGCUACUAGUGAAUUUAAAUUCGUUGCCUCAUGCCGAACCAAUUUUGCUAAGCUAUACAAUGUGGGAUCUACCUGCUUGAGAAUUGUUCGCAGGAACCAGGUGGGAGCUUCACAAUCAAGCAGAAAUUAGCUCUGCUAGAACUGUGCGAAACUCAGAAUCAGUGUGAUUCCGCUACGGCUCCUUUUGUCGAGAUCCAGCCGAAGUCGAUUCUCGCAGCGCAGGUAGCUAUGUCGCAACUGACUCUACAAUUCUAAGAAUCGGAAUCAAGCGACUAUCGCAGCACCGAUCCCUGGGAUCUCACUUCUCUUGGUUUCGAAUUUGAACUCUUUUUUCCAAUUGUUGCCCCUCGACGCUACUGUGAUUGCUUCACUCUUGUUUGGUCUGAAAUUAACACCUGCUACAGUAAUUCGGCCGAGGUGCCAAUGAUGCUUGUCUGAGGCCUGGUGCUGUUCUAAUUGCAAUAGAACCAGCACUAGUCCUUGCUACUACCUCGGUACACCCUCGUGUGAGCCUUCUGUUGCUUAAUUAUGCUAGUUGGUUGAUGUUACCUGUUGCGCCUCCACUGUUCGAAGUAAUUCCUCAUAGGUGCUGAAACUCCAACGUUCUUGCUCCUGUUGAAUUCCCGCUGCCCACGGCCCUGGGACAGUGCCGCUCUGAUACCAAUUGUAAUAUCCCUUAUGGCUCGGAUCAGGUUCUUGGUGCUUCCGGUCGCGGAUCCGAGGUAACGUAAUCGGUAACCGAGGCUAGAGAGGUAAGGAAAUAGAGAUAGAAAUUGGGAUUGAGAUAGAGAGAAGAGAAAUAGAGGUAGAGAGAUAGACAGAUGAGGAUUGAGAGGUAAGGGUUAGGGAAAAGAGUUGGGAUAGAGAUAAGGGAUAGAGAAGAAGAAGGGUUUGGAGAAGAACUUUUGGGGGAGAAAUAGACUAAUUCAUUUUUAUU